rfam:Roseivivax jejudonensis strain CECT 8625 genome assembly, contig: 0004
GGAUCGGGCGAGGCGUCUGGGGCGACGCGUCAGGAAUUGAUCUCCGUCGGACUUCCCGAUUGCACUACGGGCCCGGCCCCCACCGUGUUCGUG